rnacentral:tRNA from 1 species
GCCGAGGUGGCGGAAUGGUAGACGCGUAGGUCUCAAAAACCUAUGAGGUCACACUCGUGAGGGUUCGAAUCCCUCCCUCGGCA